AAGUCGUAACAAGGUUUCCGUAGGUGAACCUGCGGAAGGAUCAUUACAGAGUUCAUGCCCUCACGGGUAGAUCUCCCACCCUUGUAUAUAUAAUUAUCUGUUGCUUUGGCGGGCCGCGAGCCUAGCUUGCCCGGGUUCUGCCCGGCGUGCCCGCCAGAGGAAACCCAACUACUGCAUGAUUAUGUGUCGUCUGAUGCUACUAUAUAAUAGUUAAAAC
rnacentral:misc_RNA from 1 species